CCUACGGGAGGCUGCAGUGGGGAAUAUUGCACAAUGGGGGAAACCCUGAUGCAGCAACGCCGCGUGAGUGAAGAAGUAUUUCGGUAUGUAAAGCCCUAUCAGCAGAGAAGAAAAUGACGGUAUCUGAUGAAGAAGCCCCGGCUAACUACGUGCCAGCAGCCGCGGUAAUACGUAGGGGGCAAGCGUUAUCCGGAUUUACUGGGUGUAAAGAGAGCGUAGACGGCAGCACAAGUCAGGAGUGAAAUGCCGUGGCUUAACCCCGGAACUGCUUUGGAAACUGUGCAGCUAGAGUGCAGGAGAGGUAAGUGGAAUUCCUAGUGUAGGGGUGAAAUGCGUAGAUAUUAGGAGGAAUACCAGUGGCGAAGGCGGCUUACUGGAACGUAACUGACGUUGAGGCUCGAAAGCGUGGGGAGCAAACAGGAUUAGAUACCCGUGUAGUC
rnacentral:rRNA from 1 species